AUUGAACGCUGGCGGCAGGCUUAACACAUGCAAGUCGAGCGGAGAUGAGGUGCUUGCACCUUAUCUUAGCGGCGGACGGGUGAGUAAUGCUUAGGAAUCUGCCUAUUAGUGGGGGACAACAUUCCGAAAGGAAUGCUAAUACCGCAUACGCCCUACGGGGGAAAGCAGGGGAUCUUCGGACCUUGCGCUAAUAGAUGAGCCUAAGUCGGAUUAGAUAGUUGGUGGGGUAAAGGCCUACCAAGGCGACGAUCUGUAGCGGGUCGGAGAGGAUGAUCCACCACACUGGGACUGAGACACGGCCCAGACUCCUACGGGAGGCAGCAGUGGGGAAUAUUGGACAAUGGGCGGAAGCCUGAUCCAGCCAUGCCGCGUGUAUGAAGAAGGCCUUUUGGUUGUAAAGCACUUUAAGCGAGGAGGAGGCUACUUGGAUUAAUACUCUAGGAUAGUGGACGUUACUCGCAGAAUAAGCACCGGCUAACUCUGUGCCAGCCGCCGCCGUAAGAC
rnacentral:rRNA from 1 species